GAAACCUUUUCAACAGGACUAUUUUGCCAGAUUCUAAAUGUCAACUUUUAAAUUGGAGCCUUGAGAUCUACAGAAUCCAGUAUAUACUGAGGUAAUUUGCAUAUUCUAAUAAGCAGCAGCAAGAGACACAUCUGGUAGACACACGAGACCUAAUGAAAAUUAGCAGACACAACAUUUGGAACAACUGGAACAAAGGGAAUGUGGAAAUGAAAGAGAGAGGGAGAGAGAGGCUGGCAGAUGUAAUGAGACGCGGUGAAGGUGUACGCAGACUGGCACUCCCACUCCUCCCUUCUGCUCUCACUGCAGCCCUGGGUAACUCGCAGGCUAACACAAACAGCUUUUCUCCCGCAGCCUGCCCUCUGUCACUGUAAGUACAUCAGCCUUCUCUUAUCAGCAUGCAGAUUCCAGCCAUGCACUCCCUUAGCCUGGCUUUGCACCUUAGACAGCAGAAGCGCAUUUAAAAAUUAACUUUCCUAAGCUAGGAAAGGCAUGUCUGUGAAACUUAUUUUUGAUUUAUCUUUAUUUUUCUUUGGAAAAAAGUUCAUGCAUUUUUACCACUUUUUCCCCACCUCCUUUGUGGCGGUGCUCUGCCGCUA
rnacentral:lncRNA from 1 species